UACAGAGGGUGCGAGCGUUAAUCGGAAUUACUGGGCGUAAAGGGUGCGUAGGUGGUUAUGUAAGAUUGAUGUGAAAUCCCUGGGCUUAACCUAGGAACUGCAUUGAUUACUGCAUAGCUGGAGUACUGUAGAGGGUAGUAGAAAUUCCGGUGUAGCGGUGAAAUGCGUAGAGAUCGGAAGGAAUACCAGUGGCGAAGGCGGCUACCUGGACAGAUACUGACACUGAGGCACGAGAGCGUGGGGAGCAAACAGG
rnacentral:rRNA from 1 species